rnacentral:ncRNA from 1 species
UCAAGAAAAAGGCAAACCUCGCGAAAGCGUGGGACGCAAAGCCACCGGCCUAACAUCAUUAAUGAUGAAUGGCAGCGGAGCUACCGAU